rnacentral:rRNA from 1 species
AUACACCUCACCACUUUUUGCUUUUUCCAGCCUGUAUACCUCCGUCGACAGCUUACCGUUUGAAUGCUUCAAAGUAGGUUUAACGGGUUAUAACCACCAAUACGUCAGGUCAAGGUGCAGCCUAUAAAGUGGGAAGUAAUGGGCUACAAUUUCUAAAUUAGAACAAACGAAAAACUACAUGAAACAUAGUCAUGAAGGCGGAUUUAGCAGUAAAAGAAGACCAUUAAGCUUCUUUUAAUAAGGCUCUGGGACGUGUACAAACCGCCCGUCACCCUCUUCAACAACAUCUCUUUAGUCCUUAACAUCUAACUAGCACAAUAGAAGAGGCAAGUCGUAACAUGGUAAGUGUACUGGAAGGUGUACUUGGUUAAACAAAGUGUAGCUUAACUAAAGCCUUUCGCUUACACCGAAAAAAUAUUUGUUUAAUCCAAAUCACUUUGAAGCCCUAAAUCUAGCCAACACCACUACUUAUGAAAAGUAUACCUAACCAAGAGUAUCAUAAAACAUUUUAACCGUUUAGUAAAGGAGAU